rnacentral:tRNA from 1 species
GCCAACAUGGCUUAGUGGUUUGAGUUUCGACUAUGACUCUGGAGACCAGGGUUCGAUUCGCCACUUGGCC